rnacentral:rRNA from 1 species
AUUAACGCUGGCGGCGUGCCUAAUGCAUGCUAGUCGAGCGCACGGACGCGAAGCUUCCUUCUCUUAUGUUAUCGUCGGACGGGUGUGUAACACGUUGCUAACCUACCUAUAAGACUGGGAUAACUUCGGGAAACCGGAGCUAAUACCGGAUAAUAUUUUGAACCGCAUGGUUCAAAAGUGAAAGACGGUCUUGCUGUCACUUAUAGAUGGAUCCGCGCUGCAUUAGCUAGUUGGUAAGGUAACGGCUUACCAAGGCAACGAUGCAUAGCCGACCUGAGAGGGUGAUCGGCCACACUGGAACUGAGACACGGUCCAGACUCCUACGGGAAGCAGCACUCGGGACUCUUCCGCAAUGGGCGAAAGCCUGACGGAGCCACGGCGUGUGAGUGAUGAAAAACUGCGGGUUGUAAAACUCUGUAAUAAGACAACAACAUACAUGUAAGUAACUGUUCAUAGCGAGACGGUUCAAAAACAGACUGCCACGGCUGUCUUCAUU